UACGGGGGGGGCAAGCGUUGUUCGGAAUUACUGGGCGUAAAGAGCUCGUAGGCGGUCUGUCGCGUCUGCUGUGAAACUCAGGGCUUAACCCUGAGCUUGCAGUGGGUACGGGCAGACUAGAGUGGCGGUAGGGGAGACUGGAAUUCCUGGUGUAGCGGUGAAAUGCGCAGAGUAUCGAGGAGGGAACACCGGUGGGCGAAGGCGG
rnacentral:rRNA from 1 species